AGGCUAGAUACAAGGUACUGUUGGCCAUUAAUACUUUCAUUAGCCAAUGGAAAUAGUCACGAGGUUUGAUUCAUGGUGGAGUUUUGCCUGUCACGUUAGGAGAAGUUCCCAGGUACCAGGGCAGAUGGUUUUAAGAUUAAAGAACCCCAGAGAUGACAGGAGCAAUCAUGAUUUCAACCACUGCUUCUUCUGGAGGACUGUAAAUGUGUUGCUGAAAAUCAUUCCAUGUCUCAGGGAGACAUCUGUUUCACCAAUGAGAACAAAUGAGCAGAACAAGGUGGCAUGUUACACAGAGAGACCUGAAAAUACUAGAAGGCAAAAAGCAAGACAAGGACU